rnacentral:rRNA from 1 species
AUGGCGGAAGCGGAAGGGCAGCUCGCGGCCUGCUGGGGGAAGCAGGACGACGAGUGGAGGAAAGGCCCGUGGACAACCCAGGAGGACAAGCUGCUCCUCGACCAUGUCGCCCAGCACGGCGAAGGGAGGUGGAACUCCGUCUCCAAGCUCACAGGUCUCAAGAGAAGUGGCAAGAGUUGCAGGCUGCGGUGGGUUAACUACCUCAGACCUGAUCUAAAGAGAGGCAAGAUGACACCCCAAGAGGAGAGCACCAUAGUCCAGCUCCACUCCUUGUGGGGGAACAGGUGGUCGACGAUUGCACGCAGCCUCCCGGGGAGGACGGACAACGAGAUCAAGAACUACUGGAGGACGCACUACAAGAAGGGCAAGCCGUCCAAGAACAUCGAGCGCGCCAGGGCUCGGUUCCUGAUGCAGCGGCGUGAGAUGCAGCAGCAGCAGCAGCAGCAGCAACAGAAGCUGCUACUUGGGCAGGGCAAGGACGCCGAGCUCGCCAGCGCCACUGCCGAGGACGACGUCGACGAGAAGAUGACCGGCAACGUAGGCCCGGCAGCGACGGCGCUGGCUGACCACGGCCACGAGGAGCUGAUCAUGCAGGACGUCUUGGACUUCCUGUGCCCCAUGUCCUGCGCCCUCCUCCACAGCGCCGGGCAGAGCGGCAGCUGCGGCGCCUCCACGAGCGAGGAGUAUGGGUCGACCGAGGAUGACGGCGCCACGUGGGGAAGCCUGUGGAACCUCGAAGACGUGGCCCAUGACGGCGACGGUGGGGCAUGCGCGCUGUGGUAG